UAUUGGGCAAUGGGCGCAAGCCUGACCCAGCAACGCCGCGUGAAGGAAGAAGGCUUUCGGGUUGUAAACUUCUUUUCAGAGGGAAGAGCAGAAGACGGUACCUCUUGAAUAAGCCACGGCUAACUCCGUGCCCGCAGCCGCGGUAAUACGUAGGUGGCAAGCGUUUUCCGGAUUUACUGGGUGUAAAGGGCGUGUAGCCGGGCUGACAAGUCAGAUGUGAAAUUCCGGGGCUCAACCCCGGACCUGCAUUUGAAACUGUUGGUCUUGAGUAUCGGAGAGGCAGGCGGAAUUCCUAGUAUAGCGGUGAAAUGCGUAGAUAUUAGGAGGAACACCAGUGGCGAAGGCGGCCUGCUGGACGACAACUGACGGUGAGGCGCGAAAGCGUGGGGAGCAAACAGG
rnacentral:rRNA from 1 species